rnacentral:rRNA from 1 species
UACGGAGGGUGCAAACGUUGCUCGGAAUUAUUGGGCGUAAAGCGCACGUAGGCGGCCGAAUAAGUCGGGUGUGAAAGCCCUGGGCUCAACCCAGGAAGUGCACUCGAAACUGCUCGGCUUGAAUAUGGAAGAGGGUCGCGGAAUUCCCGGUGUAGAGGUGAAAUUCGUAGAUAUUCGGAAGAACACCAGUGGCGAAGGCGACUUACUGGACAAAUAUUGACGCUGAGGUGCGAAAGCGUGGGGAGCAAACAGG